CUUUCAUUCCGGCCGUUUCUCGCGACACGGAGUACACCAACAAAUCGUCCAAAGAUUCCCCCGGUGGUCCGGUUAGUGCGAGUGCCCAUGAGAUCUUCCGCGGAUUCAGUUUUAUAGCGCCCUGUUUGCUGGACGACAUUCAGAAUCAGAUGGGUCCCAGGGCACCGUUUACGAACGAAAUUCCUGGCGUCAAACCGGUCGCCUUUGCCGAUGAGUACGCAAUGAUGCAGGAGCUGGGGCGGGGAACGUUCUCCGUUUGUCGGUUGUGUGAGAAUCGUACCACCAAGAAGCAUUCGCCGUUAAGAUAAUCGACAAAUACGGUCACGAUUGUCGAGAGGAAGUGGAAAUUCUACUGAGAUACGGCAAUCAUCCGAACAUCGUGUCUCUGUUCAGUGUCCACAAGGACCCCACUUAUGUGUACCUGGUAAUGGAGUUGCUAAAAAGAGGGGAGCUGCUGGAUCGAAUCUUGUCUAUUCAAUAUAUGUCGGAGGUUGAGGCCAGUGCAGUCCUUAAAACGGUCGUAUCGGCCGUUGCUUAUCUGCAUGAGUACGGGGUCGUCCUCAGGGACCUUAAGCCCUCGAAUCUGUUGUACGCAUCCGCCAAUCAUACUCCGGAAUCGCUGAAACUGUGCGAUCUCGGGUUUGCCAAGCAGCUUCGGGCUGACAACGGUUUGCUCAUGACCCCAUGCUAUACGGCCAACUUUGUAGCGCCCGAAGGGCAUGCUAAUUGAAAUAUGCACCAAGAGGAAGCACAACAAAAAGGCACUGCAUAAAAAUAGUCGGUAAUAUUAAAAUUCAAUAAAAUG